AAAACACUAAGAAAUGAGGUGUGCACAGUAUUGCACAUGGAUGCCAAUCUUAUCUUAUUAUACCUGCUUUGGUUUCAUGUUAAAUUUGUGAUGGGAACACUGACAUUGGAGCAUUUCCACCUGGUGAAACUUAAUCUAAAGGAAGACUGACAUUGAAUCUUAAUGCUGCCUCUUGGAAUGAACUGCAGAAUUUCCAAGUUGCAGUAGGACAGCUCAUGCCUGUUUGUUUGGAGGUUUGGCAGCUGCUGCAAGUCCAGUGACAUCAUCAUGCUGGCACAGUGAUUACUGAGAAAUGCAGUGAAAACAACAUGGCAAUGACUGCUAAGCACCAAAGACGUCUCCAAAUACAAACAAACAGACUGCAGAUAAUCACUUAGAAAUAAUUUCAUUGACUGGUCUUAAGAAGAGUGGAAACAUAAGACACAAAGAUGAAAUAAAGGCAUUUUCAGGUUUUCUUUCACCGCAAAAAAUAAGUAGCCGGAUUAAACUUGGGUCAGGGCUGCUUAAGUCCACCAAUAAUCGACCGAGUCAAGGUCAACAACCCAGUCAGUCCUGCAUAAGCCCUGUGUGGAUUGGUCAAAUAUUUCUCAGCAAUGAUCACACCACGCUUUCAGAUGCUUUUCUUCCAGUGAGAGCUUGUGAGUGUUUAUUUCAUGUGAAAAUGAUGCUAUUUGUGCUUGAUGAAAAUGGAAGAUCAGCAUCAAUAUUUAGUGAAGCCAUUCAGCAAAUAUUAGAUGCUCACCAAACCUUGGAGGUUAACAUCACAGUUUUCAACAAA